rnacentral:lncRNA from 1 species
AUUUGUAGAGAAAGGAAUGUGAUGAUGAUGAAGAAAAAACACUUAUCUUUUUGUAACUCAAAAGUGUAUAGAAAAGGGUUAACCCUUUCACAAUUAUUCUUGCUUCUCAUGCUUCUCAGGCAGCCAUUGAAGAAGGAGCUGCUACUGCUGCAAAGUUAGAUUCUCUGCUUCUGAAAAAAAUACCUUUUCUUCAUUUGACAAUGAACCAAACCACAAGAUCCCCAAAAAACCAAACCAUGCUAGGGUUGGAAUUAGAUCCUUACCUUUACUUGGGAAAGUGUACCUUACCUUUUUAUGUUUCCUGAUCAACGAGACCAAAGAAAAGAAUGAUGCUUUACUUGUAAAACACCCCAUCUGCCUCUGCAACUCUGAGAAAAACAAACGGCACUAUAUAGGGCAAAAACCCUACAUUUCACAAACAUCGAAUUUGAAUUCAAGUUCUAAAGUAAAUUAAGGAAUCGGACUACCAUCUCACUCAAACUGAAACUCUAUCAAACUGAAACAAUGGAAGUUUGCAACAUCCUCAAAGCAGCAGCAGGAUGUAAGAGUCUAAGCAGAAGAUAAUGGAUUUUGGCUUAGGAUCUUUCCGAAAGGAGGUGUACAAUUCAUAUGAUCAAGGUUGAGCAGAGGAAAUCAAAAGAUAAGGCCUCUAUUUCACAAACAUAGAUCGAAUUCGAAUUGAGUUCAACACUAAACAUUCCGGUUAAGACUAAUAUCUCAUUCGAACCGAACUCUACAAAAGUUGAAACAAUGGGGUAACAUCCAACAUCUUCACGGUAGCAGCAGCAGCAGGAGGAUGUAACAAU